UGCUAUAAAUCCUACAUUCUGUUUGAUACC
rnacentral:piRNA from 1 species